UACGGAGGGGGCUAGCGUUGUUCGGAAUUACUGGGCGUAAAGCGCGCGUAGGCGGACCUGCAAGUCGGGGGUGAAAGCCCGAGGCUCAACCUCGGAACUGCCUUCGAUACUGCGGGUCUCGAGUCCGGGAGAGGUGAGUGGAAUUCCUAGUGUAGAGGUGAAAUUCGUAGAUAUUAGGAAGAACACCAGUGGCGAAGGCGGCUCACUGGAUUGGUAUUGACGCUGAGGUGCGAAAGCGUGGGGAGCAAACAGG
rnacentral:rRNA from 1 species